rnacentral:rRNA from 1 species
CACGGAGUUAGCCGAUGCUUAUUCAUAUGGUACCGUCAUCAACGUACACGUACGCCUUAUUCUUCCCAUAUAAAAGCAGUUUACAACCCAUAAGGCAUUCUUCCUGCACGCGGCAUGGCUGGUUCAGCCUUCCGACCAUUGACCAAUAUUCCUCACUGCUGCCUCCCGUAGGAGUCUGGUCCCUGUCUCAGUACCAGUGUGGGGGAUCUCCCUCUCAGGACCCCUACCUAUCGUAGCCUUGGGUGCCGUUACCACUCCAACUAGCUAAUAGGACGCAUGCCCAUCUUUCACCACCUCAGUUUAAUUGCCAAAUGAUGCCAUCAACAAUAUAUGGGUAUUAAUCCAAAUUCUUCGGGCUAUCCCCUGUGAAGGUAGGUUGCAUACGCGUUACGCACCGUGCGCCGGUUUCUGCCCGAAGGGCUUCUCCCUCGACUUGCAUGUGUUAGGCCUGCCGCUAGCGUUCAUCCUGAGCCAGGGAUCAAACUCU